CAGAAGUGGAACAUAUGGUUCAGAUUCUCCUCAUUAAACUACCUGCCCUCUGUAAUGUAGCUCUUCUGUGCUGCAGAAAUUGAUACUACACAAGAAAAGAAAUGAUGGGAGAAUAGUGAAGAAGAGAAGAACUGGCCAGGUAGCAACAUAUAAGAGGCCAAGGGCCGGGCGCAGUGGCUCACACCUGUAAUCCAAACACUUUGGGAGGCCAAGGCGGGCAGAUCACCUGAGGUUGGGAGUUUGAGACCAGCCUGACCAACAUGGGGAAACCCCAUCUCUACCAAAAAUACAAAAUUAGCCAGGCGUGGUGGUGCAUGCCUGUAAUCCCAGCUACUCAGGAGGUUGAGGCAGGAGAAUCACUUGAACCCAGGAGGCAGAGACUGCAGUGAGCCGAGAUUGCGCCAUUGCACUCCAGCCUGGGUAACAAGAGUGAAACUCCGUCUCAAAAAAAAAAAAAAAAAAGCCAAGUAGAAACAUAUAAUGAACCUGAGAGAAAAAGAAGAAAGAAAAUAGAAGCCAUAUGGGCUAGAGUAGUAUGAAGAGAGAUAUUUGGGUAGUGAAGAUAACUGCAAUAUAGAUGGAUGGAGUUUUUUAUUAGAUGGAGCUUUAUCAUUCAAACACCAGAAUUCCCUGGACACGUGGGUCCAGAAAUCAAAUCCUAGCACUUUGGGGACCAAGGCGGUUGGAUUGCUUGUGUACAGGAGUUCAAGACCAGCCUGGGCAAUAUGAGGACAUCCUGUCUUUACAAAAGAUUAAAAAAUUAGCUGAGCAUGGUAGCAUGUGCCUGUAGUCCCAGCUACUCAGAAGCUGAAGUGGGAGAAUCGCUUGAGCCUGGGAAGCAGAGAUUACCGUGAGUCGAGAUUGCGCCACUGCACUCCAGCCUGGGUGAUAGAGUGAUAAAAUUUUGAAAUAAUCCUGGCAUAAAAACAAAAAAACAGAACUGGUAAGGAUUUAGAAUGAUGAUACAAAAGAGCAAAGGUCAAUCAGGGUUCUCUGAAUUAGAAAGUCAAAGAACCAUUAAGAAGAUGACAAUGAAAUGAAUUCAGAAGGACAAAGUUGAAGAAGAUACCUAUUUAUAAAGUGGACAUACCAGCCAUAGAACUAAACAAACACAGACCUACACAGUCUAUGACAUUAAAGAAGCUAAAAUAUCCCUUUAUUAAGUGUUGAAAUAGAAAAGUCUUUACCUGCC
rnacentral:lncRNA from 10 species